rnacentral:tRNA from 1 species
GGGGAUUUAGCUCAGUGGUAGAGCGCUUGCCUAAUAAGGGCAAGGCCCUGGGUUCGGUUCCCAGCUCCG